rnacentral:rRNA from 1 species
GACGGUACUUGAGGAAUAAGCCAUCGGGCUAAUUCCGUGCCAGCAGCCGCGGUAAUACGGGAGGUAUGCAAGCGUUACUCCGGAAUUAUUGGGCGUAAAGCGUCCGCAGGCGGCCUUGUAAGUCUGUCGUUAAAGCGUGUAGCUCAACUCCAUUUCAGCGAUGGAAACUACAAGGCUUGAGUGUGGUAGGGGCAGAGGGAAUUCCCGGUGUAGCGGUGAAAUGCGUAGAUAUCGGGAAGAACCCAGUGGCGAAGGCGCUCUGCUGGCCAUAACUGACGCUCAUGGACGAAAGCCUAGGGAGCGAAAUGGAUUAAAUACCCCUGUAGUCCUGGCCGUAAACGAUGAACACUAAGUGUCGGGGGAAUCGACCCCCUCAGUGUCGUAGCCUACGUGUUAAAUGUUCCCUCUGGGGAGUACGCACGCAAUUGUGAAACUCAGAAGAAUUGACAGGGGCCCGCACAAGCGGUGGAAUAUGUAKGUUUAAUUUGAUGCAGCGCGAAAAACCUUACCAUGGUUUGACAUCCUGCGAAUCCUUGCAAACGAGGGAGUACCUUCGGGAACGCAGAGACCGGUGGUGCAUGGCUGUCSUCAGCUCCUGUCGUGAGAUGKUGGGUUAAGUCCCGCAACGAGCGCCACCCAUCUCUCUAGUUGCCCGCAUUCAUUUUGGCAYUCUAGAGAGAACUGCGGUGAUAAACCGGAGGAAGGKGUGGAUGAUGUCAAGUCAUCAUGCCCCUUACAUCCUGGGCUACACACGUACUACAAUGCUACAGACCAAAGGCAGCAAGCUCGAGAGAGUAAGCACAUCCCCUAAACGUGGCUCAGUUCCAAUUGUAGGCUGCAACUCGACAAAGUGAAGGACGAAUCCCUAGUCAUGGCAGGUCAGCAUACCGCGGUGAAUAUGUUCCCGCGCGUUGUACACACCGCCCGUCACACCAUGGAAGUUGGCCAUGCCCGAAGUCGUUACUCCAACCCUUGUGGAGGGGGACCC